rnacentral:rRNA from 1 species
UACGGAGGGUGCAAGCGUUAAUCGGAAUUACUGGGCGUAAAGCGUGCGCAGGCGGUUCGUUGUGUCGGCGGUGAAAGCCCCGGGCUCAACCUGGGAAUGGCCGUUGAAACUGGCGAACUGGAGUGUGGCAGAGGGGGGUGGAAUUCCGCGUGUAGCAGUGAAAUGCGUAGAGAUGCGGAGGAACACCGAUGGCGAAGGCAGCCCCCUGGGCUGACACUGACGCUCAGGCACGAAAGCGUGGGGAGCAAACAGG